rnacentral:lncRNA from 1 species
AUGGUAGUCAAAAUUGUGGUCUAUAUUUUGUUGGCAAUUCUGGUUGCCAUCAUCUGUGUUGAAUGGUAAAAGUCCUUUUGAAAUGAUGUUUGCUUUUAGGCCCUCUUUGUCUCAUCUUAGAAACUUUGGAUGCUUAUGUUUUAGUACUAUUUUACAUGAUUCUGACAAGUUUUCAUUUAAUGCUGAAAAAUGUGUUUUCAUUGGUUACUCAAGUUUUAAAAAAGGAUACAAGUUGUGGAGUUUGGA